rnacentral:rRNA from 1 species
UACGGGGGGGGCAAGCGUUGUUCGGAAUUACUGGGCGUAAAGGGCUCGUAGGCUGCCCACUCAGUCGGAUGUGAAAUCCCCAGGCUCAACCUGGGAACGGCAUCCGAUACUGGCGGGCUUGAAUCCGGGAGAGGGAUGCAGAAUUCCAGGUGUAGCGGUGAAAUGCGUAGAUAUCUGGAGGAAUACCGGUGGCGAAGGCGGCAUCCUGGACCGGCAUUGACGCUGAGGAGCGAAAGCUAGGGGAGCAAACGGG